AUUUAAUACAACUCUCCUACAAAAGUUUUAGUUGUUUGGUGUUCACUGUACACAAAGUUGCAAAAAUUGCAAAUGAUUUUUGGAUUUUUAGGAGCUUUAAAGAAACAACAGUAAAGUCAUAUCAGAACAUUGGAAUGCAAAAUUAUCACAAUGAUUCAGAAUUCGAAAAGAAGUUACUUAAUAAUAGUUUACUAUUUAGCAGUAUUCGGAAAAACAAAAGCACACAAGAUAAAAUUAAGAAGAUUAAAAAAUAUAUAGAUAGAGGAGCAGACAUAAAUGCUAUCGACGCUAACUUUAGGAACAAUACACCAUUGCACGUGGCAGUAAUGAAACAGGAACUGGAAAUCGUCAGCUACCUCUUGGAACAAGGAGCUCAAGUUACAAAUAAAAAUUUAGAUAAUGAGACUGCUUUAGAUAUUUCAAUUACAUUAAGAAAGUCUACCGACAACGGUGAAUCAAUUGUUCAUAAAUUAGAGACAUACACAAAUAAUUUAAACCAGUUAUCUUCUAGUCAACGAGAUACUAAUUCCUGUGUAACUAAGCAAAGUCAACCAAAGAGCGUGAAAAUCAAACAUGACCAAAAAGUAACCGAAAAGCCAAUUCCCAACGAGAAGACUUUGGCUACCACCAACUCCACGGUUAUUGCACCGGACGGUAUUGCAGAUAAUAUUAAAAGUCAAAAUCAAUGUAAAACCAAUAAAAAAGUUGACAAGGGGCAUAAUGCAAAACCUGCUGAAAAUAAGCCAAAACAGAGCAAAGAACCAAAAAAUAAAAAGGGGAAUAAAACAUUUCUAUAUCCCAAACGAACUGGCACGUCAGGACUAAGUGGGCAACUGUAUGAAACUAAACUGUUAAGCUUGAUCUUAUUUCGAGCUCUGUACGUUCAAGAAGUUAAUAAAUUCGUAAUGGCGACCAAUGUGGAGGGCAUGGGAGCCUUCGAUGACAUUGUCUUCAGAUAUUAUUCAAAUAAUAGUGAUAAACCGAAAUUAUUGUUUAUCCAAGCUAAGCACCGAGAUAAUCCGGCAAAAGAUAAAUUUACAGUUGAGGAAAUUAUGAAAUCAAACGGAGACUUCAGCCUUAACAAGUAUCUAGAGAGUUACAUCAAAAUUAGUCAAAUGUUUGAUCCUGAAAACAUUGAUGACAUGUUCAAAGGAGAAUUUAAAAACAUAGACUGUGAAUUUAUUAUUUAUACAUCAGCUUUUGAAAAGUUUGCUAAAAUGAAAGGAGCUCAGCAGACUCAAAGUAAAUAUUUUGUGAACACUAAAGAAGGAAAGGUAUUCCAGUUUGACUAUGAAGAUCAAGACAUAGAAUACCUGGUUCAAACUAUUGCCAAAUCGCGAGCUGUGCUUUUAGCAAAACGUCUAGCAAGAUUUAUUUUUAAAGAUAAUUUUAGUAAUAUGAUGAUGGAUGAUUUGAUAAAAACAUACCAUGUCUUUUUAGCGCAACAUAUUCUGGAAGUUGAAUUAAUAGAUUAUGAAAUUGAAUCGCAAAAUAAUUUCUAUACCGCAAAAUUCCGACCCAUAUUGUUCACAAGCAAUGAUGAAUUAUUACUUGCGUUCAAAACAAUGAUUUAUAAAGAAUUAACACUAGCAAAGAAAACUAUAUCUGGUGAAACACCGGAUGAGAUGGAUAGCAUUUUAAAAGGAAUGACAUUUAAAGUUCCUGUUACUUUUGGUAAUCUUAAGUUCAGUUUUAGUGGUAGUGAGAAAAAGAAAGAAAAGAAACUAGAGUAUCUUUACUCAUUGUUCAAAAAACUAUUCGAGAAUGCUUUUGAUGCAAGCAAUUCAAUGUUUAACAUACACGACAGUAUGGUAGGACCAAAUGAACUUUUACAAUCUACUGAUUUAGAAUCUUACAGAUUGGGUGGUUUAGUUGGUAAUUUGUUCAUAUUAGAUACUGGUACUAAGACAUUAAAAUUUAAUACUGACGAAAGCUUGCUUUCCGAAGAUAAUUUAAAACUAUUAGAAAAAAUUAAAAACAAAGUCUUGGUAGGAAUAGAUUUAACUGUUCUAAGAUUCAAUAUAAACGUCCAUAACUUUCCUAGACUCUCCCUAGUUCAUGAUGAACACGACAAAAACUUGAUAAAACAGUUUUUAAGUAAACUUCUGUUUUACACAAAUCAAGCCAUGGAGGACGAAGUAGAAACGAUUUUAAAAAAGGAAAUAGAUAAAUAUUUUACUGGUAGUAUUCCGAGACAAAGUGAUCCCCUGUUCAGAGUAAAGAGUGAUGCUAUUUUCCUAAAAGUUCACGACCGUGUACAAAAGUGGUGGAAACAUCCAGUUAAGGCUCCAUAUCUUACUGAAUCUUGUGAAUACUUCAUCCAAGCUGAACAAGAUGUUUUGAAUAGUCCUUUACUUAGCAUUCUUAACUUUACAUACAUCAAAACUAUUAGAAAUACUGUGUAUGACAUAAAAUUCAAAGGUACUGCGCUUGAAUUAUUACAACUUAAUGAUUUUUUGAACGGCACGCAAAGAAUAUUGUCUUUAAUAACUGAAGAGAAUGCGCUUACCAGUAUGAAGCUAGUACAAUACUUUAAAGAGCAUAAUAUUAACGAUUAUACUUUUGUUGAUCUCGAUUAUGUAGGAAGCAGAAAUUAUUUCGUGGAUGUUAAGUCCGAAAUCAAAGAAUCUAAUUUGAACACUCUUGUUGUUAUUUGUAACAGCGAAGAUGUUAUUGCCGACAUUCAUAUACUAAUAAAACUUUUUAAAGGAAGGACCAUAAUCAUCUCUAGCCGGGAUCUAGCGUGCCAGAUCAAUGUUACACCCGUGGAGAACAUUAUAACAAGAGUUGACAAUCAAAUCGGUUUUAAAGAUUUAGCAGAAUCUAUGCGUGAUAUGUUGUUGGAAGACAGAUACAUAGUAUUUCAAGGUAAAAAGGUAAAGCUAGGCAUUUUGUUAAAAGAAGAAUCCUAUAAUCUUAUAAAUUCAAAUGUUUUAUACAAUAUUAUAAACAAUGAAGAGAUUGCAAUCGGUGUUCCUUUUAAUAACCCAGCUUAUGAUGAAAUAUCAGAUUAUUACAUUAAUGAGCAAGUAUGUCGCUACAUAACAUUAGACUCUCAUGCCUUAGAAAGUGAUGAGAUAAAUGUUGUAAAAUAUAGCGAGUUAAACAGAAACUUUGAACCCGAUACAAGAGAUAUUGUCUUGAUUACUGAGAACGAAACAGAAUUCGUUGAAUUUAUAAAUAUGUAUAAAAACUCUAAUGUGCAUUGGUUUAGCGACAAAGAAGGUAUUUUUUGGCAAAAAUCGCACGGCAGUUUGCUUAAUAUACAAAAAUACGUUAGCAGAGGCUCACAUGUUUUGUUUACUUUUGAACCGGUUACAUUCAAAGAUUUACAAGAAAGAGUUGUCAUAAUAAGUGCCGAACCAGGUAUGGGUAAAUCUUCUUUACUUACUCAUUUAGCAAUAAAUACGAAAGAAAAAUACUGUGAUCUAUGGAUUUCAAAAAUAAAUGUAUUGGAUUACACCGAUGAAUUUAAAAAAAUAAAAGAAAAUAAUGUUAACAUUGAUUUACUUGAAGCUGUGAAGUUUUUGUUUCGAGUUAUCAGGUUCAACAAAACUACUAAAGCUGAUAUUGAAUUACUUAUUGACACAGUUUCUAUACAAGGCAUGGAUGACAUAAGUUUAGACACAAACAGUAAGGAAAUAAAUGUUACUGGAUCCAAGUUAUUGGAAGUUCAUUUUUUUAUUCAUUGUUUUAAUAAUGACCGGGUUGUUUUACUAUUCGAUGGUUUUGACGAAAUUUGUCCUGAUUUUGCGAAUGAAUUUAUGCAAUUAAUGAAUAUUCUCAAGAGAUCGAAAGUUGCCCACUUAUGGAUCACCAGUAGAUUAUACAAUGUACUAAAUCAGUUAGAAAAUUCAUUGGAAAAGUUUUCUUUUACAAUACAGCCGUUAUCCUACGAUAAUCAGAAGAAGUUUUUAAACAAAGUUUGGUCAAAAAAGUUGGGGCCUGACAAACUAGACUAUUUUCCUUUUAAUACAAGUUGGGGAAUAGAAAAAGCGAUUGCUGGAUUUUUAUCUGUACUUUCAGCAGUUUUAUGCGAUUCAGGAGGUAAGUUUAUAAGCAUGCCUUUACAUUUGUUUAUGAUAUCGGAGAUUUUUCAAGAUUCUUUUCAUAACUUCCCUCUUAAUCCAGAAGGUAUUUCGAGUUUUGUAACUAGACAGGAUACUAUGAAUAAAGUGAAUUUAAGUUACAUAUACGAGCGAUUUGUUGAUGUAAAGUUUUUCAAAAUACGGUUUGGAGAGAAAAAACCUCUUUUGUGCAUUAAUGACCCCGAUAUGAGACAAAUAAUAGAGAACGAGCGUAAUUCGUUUUUCUAUAUUCAUAAAAUUAUUGCAGCAUAUUUAAUCUUUGGAAAAACAGAUGAAGUACAAUUUCUUGAUAGCAAAGAUAUUAACAAAAUAGUCGAUUUUAUUGAAAGGUUAAAACAAGGCGAAGAAAAAACUGGUAUUAUUGAGCAAAUAGUUCAGAAUCAACCCAAGUUUGUACAUUAUACAUUUGCCGAAUAUUUUGCUACCGAGCUCCUUUGUGACCGGAUGAAAUCGAGUAAUUGUGAGGAUUCUUUGUGGAAAUACUUAAUUAGCACAUUUUUUCUAUCUGACCAAGGAGGUCCACGUAGAUUUUUCAACGCUAAAUUAGCUCACCAACCAUUAUUGUUUAAUCAAGUUUAUAAGGCAGAAUUAAACAUGAUGUUUGAACGAAUGCUGUUAGAGCGUAAAACAUGGGCUACAUUAAUAUAUAAGGCCAUUGAUGAAUAUUUAGAAAACACUGCAAUUUUUCUAUUGCAAUGCAUGAAAGCAGUUGUUACGGAGGAAAAUCUGAAUGACUUUAUAUCAGUGGUUUGCGACAAAAUCAUGGAUUGCUGCAUUAUGUGCAUUGCUGCUAAAAGAAGCUCAAUAAAAUCUAUUUCCUUUAUAAUUGAAUUGAUCAAGAAUUUUGACAUUGGUAGAUUAAUUGAAUUGUUUAAUUGUUCUGAUCUUCCGUUGCAUAACUUGAUGUUGAUUGCAUUUGGAGGUGUCAGGGAUUCAAUGCCGAAUGUGGAGUUGUUAUAUCUCCUAAUGCAAGAUUUAACAACUCCUGCAAUCGUACAAAUGUUCUGUAUUCAGUAUAAUAAAAAUUGGUUCAACAGAACCAAAUCAAUGAAGUUUAUACACGUUAUAUCACCCUGGUUGGGCCACGACAGUUUUAAAUGUUUCGAAAGAUGUUUGGAUAAAUUGAACGAGGAACAACUUAUUGAAAUUUUUACCGCUAGAAAUUCUGAAAAGAAACUGCCUGCUCAUUUAGCUGCAUCUGAUCAAGUAUUUACGUUUUUUGAUAAACUAGAGAAGUAUGUCGACAGAAAGCAUUUUAUUGAAAUUUGUAUGACUAAAGAUAGAUCAGGACUUACGCCAUUGCAUUACUUUAAAUACACCGUAAAAGACGAGGAAAAACUAAACGAACUACUGGACAAAGUGUACGAGGGAAAAUAUGAAGCUAAAACUGUGUUAAAGUUUAUUAAAGAUAAUAAAUAAUCGUAAUCAAAUUAUAGUAGUAGUAUUUCACAUGUUUAACAGAUUUGUCACUUCAAAAGUAGUUAUGACAGGGCAAGAUGUUCUUGUAUCUUUCAUAAAGUUAUUUUCGCUUGUAUAAAUGGUUAUAUUCUUUUUUUUUUGGAUUAUGUGCUUGCUUUGUUGUAAAAUACUUAUUUCUUGAUAAGUGUGUUAAUAUUCAGAAUGGAUUUCCUUAUCUAGUCUAGAAUAAGACUUUGAAUCUAGUGCAUUUAAAACCAAAUAAAACGAAGUUGUACUUUUUAGGGUUCCGUAUCCAAAGGGUAAAACGGGACCCUAUUGUUUUCGCUCCUCCGUCCGUCUGUACGUCCGCCCGUGUAUCAGCAGGCUGUAUCUCAUGAACCGUGAUAGUUAGGGAGCUGAAAUUUUCACAGAUGAUGUAUUAUUGUUGCCGCUAUAACAACAAAUGAAAACUAGAAUUGAAUAAAUAUUUUGGGGAGCUCCCAUACAACAAACGUGAUUUUUUUGUCCGUUUUAUAAAUUAUAAAUGGGUACGGAACCCUUCGUGCGCGAGUCCGACUCGCACUUUGCAUUUUUUUUUGCUAGAUAGUCAUUGAAGCUGAGCUUAAUAUUUUGUCAGACAUAUUAUUGAUGUCCGCAAUUUUGGAAUUUGACUGUUCUGCAAGAGCUGUCAUCAUAUUUAUUUUUUUAAUAUUUUAGACUUGAUAUUAUCAUAAUGUUAUGUUACCUAUUAGGAAAGUGGUUUUUGUAAUUUUAUUGUACUUAA